UUUAUUGAGAGUUUGAUCCUGGCUCAGGACGAACGCUGGCGGCGUGCCUAACACAUGCAAGUCGAGCGAUGAAGCUUCUUCGGAAGUGGAUUAGCGGCGGACGGGUGAGUAACACGUGGGCAACCUGCCUCAUAGAGAGGGAUAGCCUUUCGAAAGGAAGAUUAAUACCUCAUAAGAUUGUAGUUUCGCAUGAAACGGCAAUAAAAGGAGUAAUCCGCUAUGAGAUGGGCCCGCGUCGCAUUAGCUAGUUGGUAAGGUAAUGGCUUACCAAGGCGACGAUGCGUAGCCGACCUGAGAGGGUGAUCGGCCACAUUGGGACUGAGACACGGCCCAGACUCCUACGGGAGGCAGCAGUGGGGAAUAUUGCACAAUGGGGGAA
rnacentral:rRNA from 1 species